rnacentral:lncRNA from 1 species
GGGCUCCAGAGUGGAGCCGGGACGCCCGCCCUGAACCCUGGCCCCUCCGCCCAUCCCUGUCUUGGCUCUCUUUGUCCCCUCCGCCCCACCUAUCUUCUCUCUGAGGGGGUCCCGUUCUCUCUGCGUCUCUUUGUCUCUGUCUCCCUCUGUCUCCGUGUCCCUCUCUCUCUGGGUCUCUGUCCCCCUCUCUCUCUGGGUCUCUGUCCCCCUCUCUCUCUGGGUCUCUGUCCCCCUCUCUCUCUGGGUCUCUGUCCCCCUCUCUCUCUGGGUCUCUGUCCCCCUCUCUCUCUGGGUCUCUGUCCCCCUCUCUCUCUGGGUCUCUGUCCCCCUCUCUCUCUGGGUCUCUGUCCCCCUCUCUCUCUGGGUCUCUGUCCCCGUCUCUCCGGGUCUCUGUUUCCCCUUUUCUGUGGGUCACUGUCCUCAUCUCUUUGGGUCUGUGUUUCCGCUUUUCUCUGUGUCUCUGUCCCCGUCUCUCUGGGUCUCUGUCUCUGUCUCUCUGGGUCUCUGUCUCUGUCUCUCUGGGCCUCUGUUUCCCCUUUUCUCUGUGUCUCUGUCCCCGUCUCUCUGGGUCUCUGUCUUCCUCUCUCUGGGUCUGUUUCCCCCUCUCUCUGGGUCUCUGUCCCCAUCUCUCUGGGUCUCUGUCUGUUUCUCCGGGUCUCCGUCCCUGUCUCUCCGGGUCUCUGUUUCCCCUUUUCUCUGGGUCUCUGUCCUUGUCUCUCUGGGUCUCUGUCCCUGUUUCUCCGGGUCUCUGUCCCCGUCUCUCCGGGUCUCUGUUUCCCCUUUACUCUGGGUUUCUGUCCCCAUCUCUCUGGGUCUCUGUCCCUCUCUCUCUGGGUCUCUGUCCCUCUCUCUCUGGGUCUCUGUCCCUCUCUCUCUGGGUCUCUGUCGCCAUCUCUCUGGGUCUCUGUCCCAUGUCUCUGGGUCUCUGUCCCUCUCUCUCUGGGUCUCUGUCCCUCUCUCUCUGGGUCUCUGUCCCUCUCUCUCUGGGUCUCUGUCCCUCUCUCUCUGGGUCUCUGUCCCCGUCUCUCCGGGUCUCUGUUUCCCCUUUACUCUGGGUUUCUGUCCCCAUCUCUCUGGGUCUCUGUCCCUCUCUCUCUGGGUCUCUGUCCCCGUCUCUCCGGGUCUCUGUUUCCCCUUUACUCUGGGUUUCUGUCCCCAUCUCUCUGGGUCUCUGUCCCUCUCUCUCUGGGUCUCUGUCGCCAUCUCUCUGGGUCUCUGUCCCUCUCUCUCUGGGUCUCUGUCCCUCUCUCUCUGGGUCUUUGUCCCCGUCUCUCUGGGUCUCUGUCCCCGUCUCUCUGGGUCUCUGUCCCUCUCUCUCUGGGUCUCUGUCCCAUCUCUCUGGGUCUCUGUCCCAUG